rnacentral:lncRNA from 1 species
GACAGUUCUCUAAGUAAACCAAGAAAUAACUAAAUAAAGAUGACUCUAAGGAAUCCCCCAUGAACAAAAGCGGAGCUCACCAAUAGCACUGGAAGAGAAGGAAGUCCUAACUCGUAGCUUGCUUGCCUGCAAAUCUGGUUCCUAUGUUGUACCGCAGACCAACAUAGGUUCCCAAAAGAGAGCGUCAGUACCAUUCAUUGUACUCGGUGAGUCUCAACAGCGGAACGAGAAACAUUAAUGAUAUAUCCAUUAUGAUCAAAGGUUCUAAAUGCAUGUAAAACGUAAAGCUUAUAAGAAUAAUUCAAAAUAACUGCAUAAUAGCAGUUUAUGAAUAUUUUACAAGGAAUCCUUUUUUUUUUCUUUCUUAAAAAAAAUACUUCACUUUAUACUUUGGGAGUUCCAACUAUCCUGACUUAAUCCUAUCUCAGUCAUCGUGUGAUCGAUAGGGGUUCGAUCUCAACCUGAUCGAAUAGGCCCAAUCCACGAGGUUCCACUCGCUUCAUGGUUCUCAGAUCUCAUGUAACAUACCUUAGCAUGACUAAGUAAAUUCUCAGCAACAAGACCAUCGGCUCGUGUGCUCCCUACUUUAGCACAAGUAGUUUCAGGAAGUUAACGUCUUGGUCAGGACCCUUGGCCUGGACGACGACCCCUCUCAGAAUAAAGGAUACUCCCCAAAAUUCUUUUCUUUCUAAAACUUCUUCUUGUGACUUUUCAAAGCUAAAUCUUUUUGUUAUAGAACAUUAUGUACAUACUCAUAUUGGUGUCCUUAAAUGUGAAGCAUGACAUAAGAAUGAAAUAAACAUAUAAAAAUAUUUCUAAAGAUUCUUUCUUCAUAAUUUUCAACAUGAAAAUAGUAUAUAAGAAUAACAGAAAAAUCUGAAAAUUUAAGCACACAUAGCAUAAUAUAUUAUCUAAACUUUUGCUAGAACAAUUCUAAAUUAAUGGGUACUCACUUGCUCUAAUUAAAUAAAGAUAAACUCAUUUAAGCAAUUCAUCAAACACCUUGUAUGCGUGCUUUUAUGAGUUAAACCAUUUUAGUAAGGGUUAUAUCAACUCACCUCAAAACUUCUCGAGCCAAUAUAUUGGCCCCAGUCCAAUUGCACCAGUCAAACAAUCGAUUUUACAAUAACUGAUGUAUUUUAAUCAAUUUAAAAGUACUACACCUAAAUAUGAAAUUUAUUAUUGAUAUGAAAAAAGAAGGGAAUUAACUAUUCAUAUCUUACCUAUUACUACUUAGAGUAAUUGACAAUAGAAAAUUUUACAUACCUUAGUUCAAAAAUUAGUGAUUGCUAAUAACCCUAGAAUUUUCCGUUGGUUGCGUAAGUAUUUUCGCUGGGACGUGCGUAUUUUUUUUAUACGCAGAAGUCUGCUUGGAGUUUCUUUUUCG